UAAAGUCUCAUCUAAAAAAAGAAGAGAUUAAAGUCUCCAAAAACAGUAAGAUCAAACACUUUGAUGCUUGAACAGAGGCAAGUUAAAUUCAAGCAAGUCAGUUUCACAGUCUCAGCUGAUUUAUGUUUUGUUUGGGUCAGGUAUGAUAACGGGGACUGUGAAACUGAUCCGAUUCAAAGGAAGUCAAGGUAUGAUUGCUAUUUGGAUCAGACUAUAUUUUGCCAAAUGGGUAAUGAUGAAAGUCCUCGUUGCCCCCCACAGAGUCCAAUGGUAGCUUCUUAGUCAAGUUAUCAGGAAUUGAGAGUUGCAGAGAAGGAUGAUGGUCAAAGACAGGAUGAAACUAAAACAUGAGCCAAUGAUGAUCAAAUGGAGCAGCUUUGACUUCCUUUAAAUUUUUUUUUUCAAUCAAAAUCUGUUCUCUCUUCAAAAUGGCUGUGAAAGAAAUAGCAAUUUUGAUUCUUCUUGUUUCUCU